CAGUCGCCGCGGUAAUACGAAGGGGGCUAGCGUUGUUCGGAUUUACUGGGCGUAAAGCGCACGUAGGCGGAUGAUUAAGUCAGGGGUGAAAUCCCGAGGCUCAACCUCGGAACUGCCUUUGAUACUGGUCAUCUUGAGUCCGGGAGAGGUGAGUGGAACUGCGAGUGUAGAGGUGAAAUUCGUAGAUAUUCGCAAGAACACCGGUGGCGAAGGCGGCUCACUGGCCCGGAACUGACGCUGAGGCACGAAAGCGUGGGGAGCAAACAGGAUUAGAUACCCCCGUAGUCCCUGUCUCUUAUAC
rnacentral:rRNA from 1 species